rnacentral:lncRNA from 1 species
CCGUCUCCUGCACCAAAUCAUCCAACGACAACAAUGUGAUCCAAAUCGAAGAAAGUUGAGCCUCUCUCACUUCAAACCUUCUACAAUAUACCCUCCAUUAGCAAAACAAGUUAUUAACACUCAUUUCCCACCCUCAAUCUUGAUUUUCCAGGCUUGCUUCAGGAGCUAGGGUUAUAAUCCAGUCUCAAACUGCUCCUUGCACCUCCUGAAAUCCAGUCCGAGUAAUCAAGCCUUCGAGAUCCAGAUCGAUUCCGAGCUACAAGUAAAAGGUCAGCCAAUCAUAACAACCAUGUUACUACUACUAGUAGCAAAGUUGAAGGAAAACAAAAGGUGAAAGAAGAGAAUCAAUCAGUCAUUUUUGCCUUGGAAGGAUUGUCCCCUCCUCCACUAAUGGGUUCCCAUAUCUCCAUGCAAAUAAAGCAGUUAUAAAGAGAGGGAAUAGGAGGUAGUUGCCCUUAGAAAGUGGCUUUUGACUUGGCCAAAUUGGGGGCUUUUAUUGAACUUGAACCCUAAAAAAGGGGAAGCAAAAAGGUUGAUAGGAGACUUGUGGAGAAAGCAUCCAAUGGAAGAAGAAACAAAGAGGGCCAAAGUGUUGACCUUUAUGAAAAAAGUGAGUGACAAUGUGGGUGGGGUGGAGGUGUUUUGGUACGAAAAUCGAGUUCGUUCGGGACCUGACCGGUUUGAACAAUUACAAACCCAUAGACCGGUCUAUUAGUCUCGGGGGCCUUAGAUUGUAAUGUGGGUAGAUGUCAAUUCAUUAAUAUGAAUUCUUUUGUAUUCUGAAAAAGGCGUUAUCGUCUCAUCUCCAGACACCAGACCACCAUCGUUGGCGACUAUCUCCAUGUUGUUGAAUCUUUGUCUCGUGAAUUUUCUAGAAUUCAUCGGUCGACUCUUGAAUCACGAUAUUCAGUGUGAAGAUCUCAAGUGUCAGAAUUUUUUUAAAAUUCUUUGUCAGGUGCCUCAGACCAUUUUAGUUAUGUUAUUAUCCGUCCUAGUCAUUUUUCGAA